UACGUAGGGUGCAAGCGUUACUCGGAAUUACUGGGCGUAAAGCGUGCGCAGGCGGUUCUAUAAGACAGAUGUGAAAUCCCCGGGCUCAACCUGGGAACUGCAUUUGUGACUGUAGAGCUGGAGUACGGCAGAGGGGGAUGGAAUUCCGCGUGUAGCAGUGAAAUGCGUAGAUAUGCGGAGGAACACCGAUGGCAAAGGCAAUCCCCUGGGCCUGUACUGACGCUCAUGCACGAAAGCGUGGGGAGCAAACAGG
rnacentral:rRNA from 1 species